AGCAGCCGCGGUAAUUCCAGCUCCAAUAGCGUAUAUUAAAGUUGUUGCAGUUAAAAAGCUCGUAGUUGAAUUUCGGGAUUAGUACGCUGGUCAUGCCUUUGGUAUGUACUGGUGUUACUGAUUCCUACCUUCUGAGGAACCGUUAUGUCAUUCAUUUGGUGUGGCGGGGAAUCAGGACUGUUACUUUGAAAAAUUAGAGUGUUUAAAGCAGGCUCGCGCUUGAAUACAUUAGCAUGGAAUAAUGAAAUAGGACGUUGAUCCUAUUUUGUUGGUUUCUAGGAUUGACGUAAUGAUUAAUAGGGAUAGUUGGGGGCAUUAGUAUUCAAUUGUCAGAGGUGAAAUUCUUGGAUUUAUUGAAGACUAACUACUGCGAAAGCAUUUGCCAAGGAUGUUUUCAUUAAUCAAGAACGAAAGUUAGGGGAUCGAAGACGAUCAGAUACCGUCGUAGUCUUAACCAUAAACUAUGCCGACUAGGGAUCGGAUGAUGUUAAUUUUAAUGUACUCAUUCGGCGCCUUAAC
rnacentral:rRNA from 1 species